UUUCGGUUUAGAUUACUUCUGAGCAAGGGAUGGAAGCGCCUCCCGCAGCCACGAAUAUCUUCUCUAGUGCCGGGGGAGCACGGCCUAAUUGAAAACGUUGUCAGCGUCAUGCAAAUAUUCCUGUAACUUGAGUGGCUGCUUUUCUGGGUGAAAAGGAGCGAUAUCAGAACGUGGAAUCUCCCAUCAAUAGGGAAACAAUGGGGAAUUGAGAAGAGUUAACAAAGAAUGAUGCCCACACUGAGCCCAAAAUAGUUCCAAGGGGAUAAGCCUACACAGAAGGAAGAAAGAUGUAAUCAGCACCCAGACCAUCGUGAAGCUGCAGACUCACACAUACUACCCAGACCCUGAGAUAAGGACAGGACCAGAAACCGGAGAGGCCUUGGCAAGACCUUAC